CAAAACCUAUUUAAAAUGGCGGCAUUUUAUCUUAUUAGAGGAAUCUGUUUUUUAAUCGAUAAUCCACGUUAAUUUUCACUUUAAUUUAAAAUUUAUAUAUCGCCAUCUAAAGAAUUAAUUUAUUAAUAUUAUUCUAAAUAAAAAAUAAAAAGUUAGGUCAAGGUGUAAUUAAUAUUAAAGAAAAUAAUGGAUUACAAUAAAAAUUAAUUAAGGAUUAUUUUAUUAAAAUAUUUUUUGAAAAAGGAUUUAAAAGUAAUAAAAUAAUAUAAUUUUAAUAUG
rnacentral:rRNA from 1 species